rnacentral:rRNA from 1 species
AUUGAACGCUGGCGGCGUGCCUAACACAUGCAAGUCGAGCGGUAACAGGUGUAGCAAUACAUGCUGACGAGCGGCGAACGGGUGAGUAAUGCUUCGGAAUCUACCUUAUGGUGGGGAAUAACUAGCCGAAAGGUAAGCUAAUACCGCAUACGUCCUACGGGAGAAAGCAGGGGAUCGCAAGACCUUGCGCCAAACGAUGAGCCGAAGUCGGAUUAGCCAGUUGGUAGGGUAACGGCCUACCAAGGCGACGAUCCGUAGCUGGUCUGAGAGGACGACCAGCCACACUGGGACUGAGACACGGCCCAGACUCCUACGGGAGGCAGCAGUGGGGAAUAUUGGACAAUGGGGGAAACCCUGAUCCAGCGACGCCGCGUGUGUGAAGAAGGCCUGCGGGUUGUAAAGCACUUUUAGUGGGGAUGAAAUGUGCAGGGUUAAUACCUCUGCAUUUUGACCUAACCCACAGAAAAAGCACCGGCUAACUCUGUGCCAGCCGCCGCGGUAA